AGGACGUGUGGCCCAAUGGCAAGGCGCUUGACUACGACUACAACAGUAAUCAAGAGAUUCCAGGUUCGACCCCUGGCACGUUCAUCG
rnacentral:tRNA from 1 species